rnacentral:tRNA from 1 species
AAAGUAAGAGGCUUACUACUGUUAAUAGUAAAAUUGAAAUUAUUUUCUAACUAUU